UGCAGAUUCACCUUAAAAGUUCGAUUUUGGGCAAGAGGGCUUUGAGCACCAACGACUGCCUUUCAUCAAAAACUUCGAUGUGUCUUCGCUGCAUUGUCACAGUGUAUCCUUUCUCAAGUAGCUGUCCUAAGCUAAGUAAGUUAUACUUCACUGACGGGACAUACAACACAUCAUCCAUAUACGCAACUCCACCAUUUCUGCACCUGAUUAGGAUUUUGCUGAUUCCUUUCGUCGUUACUGGGUUAUCAUCCGCGAAUCUCACACUACUUCUCACUCUUUGAUCAAGAUUCACCGACCAUUCUCUCCUUUCAGUCAUGUGGUUUGAACACUGAUGAGUCGAUAUUUUAUUGAUUU
rnacentral:lncRNA from 1 species